UACGUAGGGGGCGAGCGUUGUCCGGAUUUAUUGGGCGUAAAGAGCUCGUAGGCGGUUUGGUAAGUUGGAUGUGAAAUCUCCAGGCUCAACUUGGAGGGGUCAUUCGAUACUGCCAUGACUAGAGUUCGGUAGGGGAGUGUGGAAUUCCUGGUGGAGCGGUGAAAUGCGCAGAUAUCAGGAGGAACACCGGUGGCGAAGGCGGAUCUCUGGGCCGAUACUGACGCUGAGGAGCGAAAGCGUGGGGAGCGAACAGG
rnacentral:rRNA from 1 species